rnacentral:rRNA from 1 species
UUAGGUGACUAUUGCGGUGAGGUCCACCUCUUCCCAUUCCGAACAGAGAAGUUAAGCUCACCAGCGCAGAUGGUACUAAGGCAUUCGCCUUGGGAGAGUAUGUCGUCGCCGAUC